GGUAAAAGGCUUGCUGCCUAGAGAAGAGCUUGCGUCAGAUUAGCUAGUAGGUGUGGUAAGAGCGCACCUAGGCGACGAUCUGUAGCUGGUCUGAGAGGACGAUCAGCCACACUGGAACUGAGACACGGUCCAGACUCCUACGGGAGGCAGCAGUGGGGAAUUUUCCGCAAUGGGCGAAAGCCUGACGGAGCAAUACCGCGUGAGGGAGGAAGGCUCUUGGGUUGUAAACCUCUUUUCUCUAGGAAGAUAAUGACGGUACUAGAGGAAUAAGCAUCGGCUAACUCCGUGCCAGCAGCCGCGGUAAUACGGAGGAUGCAAGCGUUAUCCGGAAUGAUUGGGCGUAAAGCGUCCGCAGGUGGUUUUAAAAGUCUGUUGUUAAAGCGUGAGGCUUAACCUCAUAAGGGCAAUGGAAACUAUAAGACUAGAGUACGUUCGGGGCAAGGGGAAUUCCCAGUGUAGCGGUGAAAUGCGUAGAGAUUGGGAAGAACACCGGUGG
rnacentral:rRNA from 1 species